rnacentral:lncRNA from 1 species
GGAAACGGUCGCGGUGCCGGUAACUACCGGCGGCGGCGCGGUGGAGUGAUGUGCACACACCACGGAUUCUCCGUCGCCCAUUCUCGACUGGAUUCUUUUACCUUUGUCGUCUCCGGUCGAAAAGGAAAACAAUGGGCACUCACACACGUACACGCACCACGCGCGCUCACGUACACAGACGCGGACGACGAGGGACUUGUGUUUAGAAUGCACCGCAACGCCGCGACGGUCGUUCCGCCCACGAGCGCCUCCAAAACGGACGUGGUGUGUGUGUAAGCUCGCGAACACAAUCGAAUCUCUCCAUUCUCGUAUUUAACGGCGUCGUUACGAGACGCACAACACCACAUCAAAUUAGUCCUGCAGCAGCCCGGGACGCCAUCGCCGCUCUCUCCGUGCCGGUUUCGGAUCCGUGAUUUCGUUCAAAUGUCGACGUUCCAGUGGAAUAUACAACUACUGCAUUUUUAGCGCGGAGAAGAACAUCGACACGAACAAACCAAACCCGGAACACUCUUCCGGCGAUGACAGCAGUGUCUAAACUUUUCACUAUUUUUACGGUCUUUUUUUUUUUUUUUGUUUUCUACUGUGCACGAAUCAAUUUGAAAUGCAUAAAUCAUGUUAAUAGUUAUUUGAGUUGUUGCAGUUUUGUACAGUUGCGUUGAUAUCAAAUAUAAAAUAUGUGUAUAUUAUUAUUAGUUGUUUACAUUUAUCUAUCGGCAGU